rnacentral:misc_RNA from 1 species
GAUGAAGAACGUAGCGAAAUGCGAUACUUGGUGUGAAUUGCAGAAUCCCGUGAACCAUCGAGUCUUUGAACGCAAGUUGCGCCUCAAGCCAUUAGGUUGAGGGCACGUCUGCCUGGGCGUCACAUAUCGUUGCCUGAUGCCAGUUUCCUCGUGAUGGGUGACUGUGCAGGGCGAAUGAUGCUUCCCGUGAGCAUUGUUGCCUCAUGGUUGGUUGAAAAUUGAGUCCUUGGUAGGGAGCGCCGUGAUAGAUGGUGGUUGAGUGACGAACGAGACCCAAUCAUGUGAGACCCCUACCGAAUUUGGCCUUCAUGACCCACAUGCGUCUUUGGAACGCUCAUGACGAGACCUCAGGUCAGGCGGGGCUACCCGCUGAGUUUAAGCAUAUCAAUAAGCGGAGGA